GAAGCACUCGUGACUCGUGAUUAAUUGAAUUCACUAGUCGAAUAACCAACACCAUGUAACCAUCUCUCUGAAAACGAAGUCUAGCAGAAACAACAAACUUUAAACCCUUUCGCCACCGGCCUCCAGCUCCUGGUUGGGGCCGGUGGCAGCCACCCUUUCAAUUUUUGUUUUCAUCUUCCUCCCUCUUUCUUUCUCGUACUGCGAUGGUCUCGGUUCCUGACGUGGAUGGAGAUUUAUCCCCAAGCGUUUUGUCCCUCCCCGCAACUGCGAUCACCUCGAUCCCCUUCAUGGAUCGGCGGAGCAACCUGCCACCUACAUGUGGUAUGGACGGAACUUUGUUUCCGGGUUUUGUGCCCAUGUUUCAAGGUCCUAAUCCUUUGAUUUGGGGUUUUUGGGAUUAGAUUUGGGGUUCUUGGGGCUAUGAGCUCAAACAGCUCCAAUACUUUGAAUCUGCUCUCCAAUUCCUCAUACCCGCCAUUGCCUUCCACUCCAGUUUUGGGGGAUUUCAUCUCAUCUCUUGUAUGUUGCUCCUGGUCAGAGACAACUACAUGUUGUCACCCCUACAAAGGUCUGGUAUCUCUUUAUAAUGGUGUUUACACCACCUGACCAUUUUUGUUACAGCUUGGUUCUGGGCAUUCGCUUGCGUUUGUGUUCGUCUGAGGACUGGAUUUGUGGCGUUCAGGAUGGGUUUGGUUCUUCCUGAUCUGCAAGUUGGGCUUCUUUUCACCAACUUUGAAGCAUUGAUGGGUUCUUGUAUUGCACUAUGCGGUGGUAUCUCUCAGUUUUUCUGUUCGCCGGUCGUCUCCAUCUUUUCUGCGGCGGGUGAUCUUCGUUUUAGGGUGGUCAUAUUUUUUAGAAGGGCCACUUUUGUGCCUCUUCGGGUGGACUCUAGCUUUUGGGCCGAGCCACAUCUCUUGUAAUUUUAGGUAUAUUUGAGAACCGUUACUCAUGCGAUGAAUGCAUAAGUGACGUAUUAGUUGUACCUACCUCAAUUAUG
rnacentral:lncRNA from 1 species